AGGGAGGACGAGUCAAGCGCUGCACUCCAGAAAGCCCAGCCUUACCCUCUGCCUCUGCUGCUGCUAGUGCUGCAAGUGGGAUAGCUGCUCAUCACAAAACACCAGUUCAGUCCUCAAAACCGAUUCUCAUUACACGCCCGAGUGUUGCUGCUGUUGCCUUCUCAAAUCCGUGAUCUAGCUUGUGCACGUUCGGGGCUCUACAUUUUGCGGAAUCACGCUGACUUGCUGCUUCGAUGACUGCUAAAAUGUAGCGUCACCUACCUGGGUAAGUGGGAAAUAAACUUCAAUGUUAAAGCUCUCCGUUCAACUUUGUUUAUGCUAUCGUCCCUAGUUUAUUCUCCUUUUGACUUUGAGCCAUUUAAUUGCCUACGGCUUUUGUGUGCUUCUGCCCCUGCGCCCUGGGUGAUGCCUGGCUCCUGUACCUGUCCUCUCCACCCGGAUCCCGGAGGGAAAAGAGGGAGACUGCGGGGGGCUGGCAGGAGAGGGAGGAUCUGGGCGAGCAUGGGGCAGCCAGUGGGAACAGAACGGGGGUGGGGUGUGGGGUGCACGCUCAUGUGGGUGCGCAGCGGGGGUGGGGGUGGGGGGUGUAGGAAUCCAGUUGCUCUCUCUCCCCCCCCGUGAACACAUGUGGGAAAACAAGUUGUUGCCAGUUGUGCGUGUGCGUGCGUACAUGCCUGGUUUCAAAUGGUUAUUUUGAAUAAAGAUGCAUGCAGGCGAAUGUAGUGAAAUGCCUGUUUUUCAUCGCGAUGACACACUUGAGCGGAAAGCGGUCGGGUAUGCUGAGGUGGUUCAAAGCAGCGGUCGCAGCGUGCCUUUGUCUUUUGGGGCGCAUCAGCGAGAAAACCCGGCUCGGCGCAGGCUCAGUGUUCACCGCCGCAGUCCCGGACGGAGGCGGGGGGCUCGGGAGCUCAGCGUCUUCGCAGCGGUUUAAUGUCUUCACAUGCAAUCUCUCUCUGAAUGUACAAUGUCUUUCCUGCUCGGUAGUGCUGCGUCCUUCACAGUGGAUUGGUUCCUCUUUCGGAGCAGAGGGCAGGCGACCGGCGUGGGAAAUGGGCCCGACGUGCGCUGCAUGGUGGAAUGGCAGCGCUGCUCCAGGUCCACGUGCCCUGGCUGCCGGGAGGGGGCCGGGGCUCUGCUGGCCGCCCUCCGCCCCGGCAUCCCGCUCCUUGGCGGGGGGGGGGAGAGGAAUCACCCCCGCACCCUCCCGCCGGCACCGCGGGCUCCCGGUCCUCCGCAGCCAGUGCUCGCCCAUCUGCUCGGGCGCCAGUAGGAACCAGCGCAGCGCUCUCGGGCGGGGGAGGCUGGGCCCCUCUUGGUCAAAUCUGUUGCGCAGUGCAAGUCCCCUCCCGGCGCCCUCCCUUCGCCCAGACGCACACAGACGGCCACAACGCUCAGACACGACACGGCAUUUGUCCUCCUGAUCUGGCGAGAUCAAGUGGGAAGCGGGAUCACAAAUGUAAUCGGCUGUAAUAAAUAAAAUAGCCCGAGGUGCUGGAGAUAUACAGAGGGGGAAUAAGAGCUUGUGUCCUUAAAGGGAACAUCUGAUAAGGCCACCGCGGUGGCAUCUUGCAUGUGGGAAGGAAUCCGUCUUGCUGACAUUCGCAGCGUGCUUUACGUGGGAAAUCCUAAAGCAGCCUGGGAGCUUCCCCAGCUCCUCUUGCGCCCCCCCCCCCCCCAGCUCCCUCUUCGAUGCUGUGCAGCGGAGCUUUGUUGUCUUUGUGGAUUGAAAAGCUGGGGUCAUCGCUAAAAUAUGCAAAUACAAUUAAUGGCUACUUCAUUUGCAUUUCGUGGCGGAGCCCCGUAGCUACCGCCGGCGCCCGAACUCGAGGCAGUCGGAGCUUUCAGCCCAGGACAAUUUGUUUUUCGCAGUUCAGGAAUGUCGGUGGCUCUCACUGGAAAAUUACUUCUGGGAUGUGCAGUGGGAAUCCAUCUCGGGUUAAAGAGAGACAGAUAAUUUACAUAACUAUACCAUUCUAUACAUUAACAAAUAUAUACUAUGUACUACUGUUGGCACGCACACAAUCGAAAAAGCUCCCGAAGGAAAAAAUAAAUAAAUCAGGUGGGCUUGAAAGUAACAUAUUCAUAAUAAUACGAGGAAAAGGUUAAAUACGGUAAACAUGACAGCAAAUUUGAAAGCAGGGUAAAAACAAGGACAAAACCCCCACAAGAAGCAGUUAAAGCCAUUUGACGGAAGGGAGAAACUAACUCAAGAACUCCACCAAGGGACAAACAGAUGAAAUGACACCACCACAGCACUGAGCCCCGCGUUGACCUUUCAUCUUUCGAAAGUGUCGUGCUGAUCUGGUGCAAUCUGCUGUGAUCUCUUGACCUCCCUUCCCCACCGCCACCUCCCUCCGGCCGCUUCCGAGCUCCCUUCGCUCGUUGCAGUGACUGUACCGGGAGGUCGCCUGAAUUAUAGGGAGUGCUGACACUUGUCUGCUGCCUUUCACUGCUUUGCAAAUACAUUUGCCGUGUAGUAGUAGCAUGUAAUAGGCAGAAGUGAUUAAAUUAUUCAUUGCAGCAACAGCAUUUCUGAUGGACCUUUAAACUGAAGAGUUUAAAUAGGGAAACCACAGAUUUACUCUUAAGCAGAUAACAACUGCAUCUGUGCUUAUUUAACUGAAUGCUAGCUAAGCAUGGAACCAGUUACUUUGUUUAAAUCCUCUCUUUUGCUCUCUGUGAGAAUUUUGAACUGCAUAAUACACUGUAAAAGUUACUACAAGAGCAAAAAUAAUCUAUGUUGGAUAACAGUGCUUAAACCUCACAUGAUUAUAAUUGCUUAUUCUUUAGGUAAUAUUUGAGGUCUCUUAAAAAUAAAAAGUUUUUGCACA